rnacentral:tRNA from 1 species
CGGGCGGUAGCUCAGCUUGGUAGAGCUUCCGGCUGUAGACCGGAGUGUCGCAGGUUCAAAUCCUGCUCGCCCGACCA